GCUCAGGACGAACGCUGGCGGCGUGCCUAAUACAUGCAAGUCGCGCGGACUUCUUCGGAAGUCAGCGGCGGACGGGUGAGUAACACGUGGGCAAUCUGCCUUUCAGACUGGAAUAACGCCUGGAAACGGGUGCUAAUGCCGGAUAGGCAACGAGUAGGCAUCUACUUGUUGGGAAAGGUGCUACGGCACCACUGAGAGAGGAGCCCGCGGCGCAUUAGCUAGUUGGUGGGGUAACGGCCUACCAAGGCGACGAUGCGUAGCCGACCUGAGAGGGUGACCGGCCACACUGGGACUGAGACACGGCCCAGACUCCUACGGGAGGCAGCAGUAGGGAAUCUUCGGCAAUGGGCGCAAGCCUGACCGAGCAACGCCGCGUGAGCGAAGAAGGCCUUCGGGUUGUAAAGCUCAGUCAUCCGGGAAGAGAGACCAGGGGAGGGAAUGCCCCUGGAGAGACGGUACCGGGAGAGGAAGCCCCGGCUAACUACGUGCCAGCAGCCGCGGUAAUACGUAGGGGGCAAGCGUUGUCCGGAAUCACUGGGCGUAAAGCGUGCGUAGGCGGUUUGUUAAGUCUGAAGUGAAAGGCCAUGGCUCAACCAUGGGAAUGCUUUGGAAACUGGCAGACUGAGUACUGAGAGGCAAGGGGAAUUCCACGUGUAGCGGUGAAAUGCGUAGAGAUGUGGAGGAAUACCAGUGGCGAAGGCGCCUUGCUGGACAGUGACUGACGCUGAGGCACGAAAGCGUGGGGAGCAAACAGGAUUAGAUACCCUGGUAGUCCACGCCGUAAACGAUGAGUGCUAGGUGUUGGAGGUUCAGACCUUCAGUGCCGAAGGAAACCCAAUAAGCACUCCGCCUGGGGAGUACGGUCGCAAGACUGAAACUCAAAGGAAUUGACGGGGGCCCGCACAAGCAGUGGAGCAUGUGGUUUAAUUCGAAGCAACGCGAAGAACCUUACCAGGGCUUGACAUCCCUCUGACCGGUGUAGAGAUACACCUUCCCUUCGGGGCAGAGGAGACAGGUGGUGCAUGGUUGUCGUCAGCUCGUGUCGUGAGAUGUUGGGUUAAGUCCCGCAACGAGCGCAACCC
rnacentral:rRNA from 1 species